CAGUAGCCGCGGGAAUACGUAGGGGGCAAGCGUUGUCCGGAAUUAUUGGGCGUAAAGCGCGCGCAGGCGGUCAUGUAAGUCUGGUGUUUAAUCCCGGGGCUCAACCCCGGAUCGCACUGGAAACUGGGUGACUUGAGUGCAGAAGAGGAGAGUGGAAUUCCACGUGUAGCGGUGAAAUGCGUAGAGAUGUGGAGGAACACCAGUGGCGAAGGCGACUCUCUGGGCUGUAACUGACGCUGAGGCGCGAAAGCGUGGGGAGCAAACAGGAUUAGAUACCCCCGUAGUCCCUGUCUCUUAUACA
rnacentral:rRNA from 1 species